rnacentral:rRNA from 1 species
AGAGUUUGAUCAUGGCUCAGGAUAAACGCUGGCGGCGUGCCUAAUGCAUGCAAGUCGAACGGAUAGUUUCUUCGGAAGCUAUUAGUGGCAAACGGGUGAGUAACACGUGGGAAUCUGCCCGAGAGUGGGGAACAACUCCUCGAAAGAGGAGCUAAUACCGCAUACGGUCUCCUGGUGAGACGGGAAGACGAAAGCUCUGAGCAAUCAGGGCGCUCUUGGAGGAGCCUGCGGCUGAUUAGCUAGUUGGUGGGGUAAAGGCCUACCAAGGCGAUGAUCAGUAGCUGGUCUGAGAGGAUGGACAGCCACACUGGGACUGAGAUACGGCCCAGACUCCUACGGGAGGCAGCAGCAAGGAAUUUUCGUCAAUGGGGGCAAACCUAAACGAGCAACGCCGCGUGGGUGAAGAAGUCUUUCGGGAUGUAAAACCCUUUUCUGUGGGAAGAAGGAAAGACGGUACCACAGGAAUAAGCAUCGGCUAACUACGUGCCAGCAGCCGCGGUAAUUC